rnacentral:misc_RNA from 1 species
AGUUUUAAAUUUUUUGUGAACCAAAGUAAUUACACCAUAUAUAAUUUUCAAAUUUAAACUUUAUCUGUUCAAAAUUCAUUUGCCAGUUUCAUUAAUUUAAUAAAAUUUCUUGUUCAAAUACAAAAACAAGCAUAUGGCAAUUAAAAUCAACUAUACGUUAACUUAUGGGACUAACAAAUAAUGUAUUUUCCAAACAUGAUGAAAUUCCUACUGUUAAUGUAAUAGGACUUUUUUUUCUUCUUUGACCCCUUAUACUAUAAAACCAAUAUCAAUUUCUACUUCUUAUACAUAGGCUGAACCCUAAUAAUAUAAAAAUCAGAGGGGAGGAGGGAGGGAAUAAGA